rfam:Lachnospiraceae bacterium 10-1 genomic scaffold acPFo-supercont1.1, whole genome shotgun sequence.
UGAUAGCUAUGAAGCGUGAGGUUGCUGCUGUGCUGAAAAGCAUUGCAGGUUUUCCGUGGAGCGAAUGUCAAGAGGCUGGUAUCUGCCAGACCUAAGAACCUGACGGCAA